rnacentral:rRNA from 1 species
CAGCCGCCGCGGUAACACGUAGGUGGCAAGCGUUGUCCGGAAUUAUUGGGCGUAAAGGGCUCGCAGGCGGUUUCUUAAGUCUGAUGUGAAAGCCCCCGGCUCAACCGGGGAGGGUCAUUGGAAACUGGGAAACUUGAGUGCAGAAGAGGAGAGUGGAAUUCCACGUGUAGCGGUGAAAUGCGUAGAGAUGUGGAGGAACACCAGUGGCGAAGGCGACUCUCUGGUCUGUAACUGACGCUGAGGAGCGAAAGCGUGGGGAGCGAACAGGAUUAGAUACCCCUGUAGUCCCUGUCUCUUAUAC